rnacentral:snoRNA from 1 species
GUACAGAUGAUGAAUUUAACUGUUCAACUGCUGGGUGAUAUAAACAUGAACUAAACUUAAUUCUGACAGCU